rnacentral:rRNA from 1 species
GACAGAGGGUGCUAGCGUUGUUCGGAAUUACUGGGCGUAAAGGGCGCGUUAGGCGGCUCGUUUAGUCGGGUGUGAAAUCCCGGGGCUCAACCCCGGAACCUGCAUUCGAUACUGGCGGGCUAGAGACCGGAAGAGGUGGGUGGAAUACCCGAGUGUAGAGGUGAAAUUCGUAGAUAUCGGGAGGAACACCGGUGGCGAAGGCGGCGAUCUGGGUCGAUACUGACGCUGAGGUGCGAAAAGCGUGGGGAGCAACAGGG